rnacentral:lncRNA from 1 species
UAUCUCCAGUGCCUAAUGACUUACAGUGGGGUUUUUUUUUUCGCCCCUGUUGUAGAGAAUUCUAGAUGAGGAAGUUCCCUUCCUGGCUACUCACUGGCAGCGCAUCCAUAAUUCUAACUCUUGAAGUUGCCUGGAGCUUGAGAGGUUAAGCAACUUUGAAGGUCCAAGUCACAAUAUAUAUAAGAGCCAGACUGAAAAGGCUUCAGAAAUAAGGAUACUGUGCCUUCUAUGGUUCUUGAAUUCCCUCCUCUCAGCACCUAGCAGAGUACUGAGCACACAGUAGGAAUUUCUAAUACUUGCCAACUCCAUUCCCAUCAUCUUCUCCUAUCAGACAGACUUUCCAAGGCCUCUCUGUGGCUGGACAUCAAAUGGACUGCAAAGCAGGACUUCCUUGGAAAGGAAACUUUUUCUAACCUGAGAGAUGAAGAUCAGACUGAGCUUUGGAGAUAAGCAAGAUAUGGAGAGUCAUAAAGCGAGUGCCUUGUUCCCUUCAUCCACUACCCCCAACACAUUUAACUUAAGGUCACUUCCUUUUUCAUGGUGACAUAAUUAUUUUUCUUCACUAAAGACCUACUCUACUGACUUGUUGAAGUACAGAAGUGACCCUGGGGUCCUGAAGAUGACCUCAAGCUCUGGUUUUGGGUUCCAUCAAGCUGGAAAGGUAUUGAUGACAAACCCAGGCUCCCUGUCUUACUACUGAAGGACUAGUUUGUUUGAGGUUGGAGAGGCUGAUUGACAAAUUCACCACAAUGCAAUGAGUUUUUUUAGCUAUAUUUGAUCCUGAACUAUCUACUAAGUUAUAGAGCAGUUGCAACGCACAUUGGUGGAAUGAGUCCCAAAUGGAUCACAGGUACUGAACAUGUUAAAAUAUUGAAAUAUUUUGUAUAUUUUCUUUCAAAUGUACUCAUGCUUCUAUGGGGUCUUGCUUCUUUCCCCGCCCCACUUUAGUGUUUAAAAAGGCUAGAAAUCAGAAAUACAGACAGAAAUGGGACAAUCAUGGUCCUCAAUAAACUUACAUAGAGGCAUGAUUCUUUGGAGUCA